CACACAGACAUCUCUGACAGCCAGACUCACUUAUCUGACACACUCAUUCAUUGACAGACACUCACACGCACACUGACAGACUCAUUGAAAAACACACACUGACACACACACACACAAACUCACAGACACCGACAGACACACGUACUCACAUGCACACAUGCACAUACUGACAGACACACAUACUCACACACACACUGACAGAACCACACACACACACAAACUCACAGACACACACACUCACACACACAUACUCACAUGCACACACACACUGACAGACACACAUACUCACACACACACACUGACAGACACACAUACUCACACACACACUGACAGACAUACUCACAUGCACACACACACACUGACAGACACACAUACUCACACACACACUGACAGACAUACUCACAUGCACACACACACACUGACAGACACACAUACUCACACACACACUGACAGACACACAUACUCACACACACACUGACAGACAUACUCACAUGCACACACACACACUGACAGACACAUACUCACACACACACUGACAGACAUACUCACAUGCACACAC